AGAACGAACGCUGGCGGCAGGCUUAACACAUGCAAGUCGAACGGUUGUAGCAAUACAGCAGUGGCAGACGGGUGAGUAACACGUGGGAACCUUCCUAGGGGUACGGAACAACUCAGGGAAACUUGAGCUAAUACCGUAUACGUCCGUGAGGAGAAAGAUUUAUCGCCCCUAGACGGGCCCGCGUAGGAUUAGGUAGUUGGUGAGGUAACGGCUCACCAAGCCUACGAUCCUUAGCUGAUCUGAGAGGAUGAUCAGCCACACUGGGACUGAGACACGGCCCAGACUCCUACGGGAGGCAGCAGUGGGGAAUCUUGGACAAGUGGG
rnacentral:rRNA from 1 species